UGUUUUGUUUUAUUAUUACCUUUUCUAUGUUUAAAUGAAAAAUAUAUUUAUCCACAACCAAUAAUUUGAUACGACUUACAAAGGAAUCGAUUAAUCAAGAUCAGUGAUCAUUCCAAACCAUUAUUCAACUUUUCAUGAUAGGUGUUGAUACCUAUUAACGUGUGGGCUUGAGCAUUCUAGUAUGUUUAUUUUAUACUCAUUAUAAUGGGAAGAUAAAGUUGGGUAUUUGAAUAGGCGUACGAUAUUUUAGUAUAAAUUAAUAAACUUUACUAUGUGUUUGUGAUAAUAAAUAAUUAUCAUAUUAGUUCUUAAGACUUGCGGAAAACAGCUGUCGACGAUAUACUCAUGAGAAUUAAUACGUUAAAAUGAUCUCAUUGAAACCAAUACAUUGGCUUGUUGCGUCUUAGACGUAUAUAUAAUUCCUUCCUUUUUGAUAUUAGAUAUAAGGUUUUGAAUUAGAUAAGAAUUAUUUAAAUGCAGUGAACAGAAGCAGCACGGCAGCCUGCGAAACAGAAAGUGUCUCUGUCUGUGAUCUGCUGACGUAUUUAUACGUUUAAUCGGUUUUCGCAUCAAAAGAGCGUCAGCGUCACAGAACGGCAAAUAAGCCAGAACUAGUUUCUGUGUAGUCGUCAACAAAGCAAGAUCACAAUACCGAUCUUUACAAAUGCACACUGCAAAAAUAUUCUUCAUUUGAAAAUAAAAUAAAUUUAUAGAAUUUAUAAAAUUUGUGCUUGAACAACUAUUAUUUUGGUCAAUUAUUAAAUUAGCCAAUUCUAUUUCAGCUGCAUGAUUUAUUAAUUCAGUCCGGGCUGUUCCGACUUAAUUACUACCUGCAAUAGAAAGACGACUUUUAAAAACGUUUUAAGCAAAUAAGCUAGAGUAUAAAAAGAAACACGCGAGGCAUUUCAGGUUUGCUCCCACCAUUUCUAUUUCAGCUGCAUGAUUUAUUAAUUCAGUCCGGGCUGUUCCGACUUAAUUACUACCUGCAAUAGAAAGACGACUUUUAAAAACGUUUUAAGCAAAUAAGCUAGAGUAUAAAAAGAAACACGCGAGGCAUUUCAGGUUUGCUCCCACCAUGUAAGUAUGUGACUGCAAUACUUGCUUGUUCCAGUAAGCACUAAUUCUGUUGUCUAUCACUGCAUUUAUUAUAAAUCUUGACACAAUUUAAAUUUGAUAUUUCUUGAGUAUUAUAUAAAUGUAUAUAUGCGUUAAAUGAGGAAAUUUACAACUAUACAUAUAUAUAGAUCCAUUUUGCCGAAAAAGCGUUUUGCCACGCAUACGAAAUGGCUAGAUUCAAUUUUGUUAUCAGUGCACUAUGGGGCGAACGACCACCUUAUGUGGAAAAAACCCAUUUUUUAAAAGUUGUUAAACAAAUUUUUUUUAAAUUGACAUGUAUUCAGAAAACAUCAAUCUAUCAUGUUACGUACUUGAAAUUUUUAAAGAGGGCGCCACUGUUCAGUGAGCAGCUGUUUAGUCAGCUGUUUUGUUUGCGCUGGCACACCGAUAACCGAAUUUUUGUUAAUCGCUGAAAAAUCUUACAAGUUUGAAGUGACAAAAAGGGCUUAAACAAUUAUAAAAGUGUUACUUAUAACAUGCAGUCGAAUCCUUGUGGUUUUUAAUAUGUGUUUGUGAUCUUCGAAUGUUAAAAUUAACUGUGUCCCAAUAAUCUUCAGUUUAUUUCCGGAUUUGGGUCCAUUAAGAAGGAAACGCUAAAAUUGACACGAUGUGUAAGACAGGCUGCCGUGUAAGACGGUCCCGAUUGUGCCGGAGUGUGACUGAUGUGGGCGGCCUAAGCGCGUGGUGAUUCUCCACGUUUUUAAGGCGGCUCAUGUAUACUAAACAGCCACGCCAAUUCGAUGUGUGACUUGCGCCGCAGUUGCUGCAUAUUUUUACAGAGAUGUCUUCCUUGUUCUUAUGGCAGUUCGCUGUGCCAUGUACUUCACUACAGACUACGCAAAUAAAUGCCAGUGUACAUGUUAUGUUGCGAUCCAUUCCAGUCUGUACGGUCGACCCGGCGUUCUUGUUUACGUUGUGGUUUGCCGAUAGCACAGCAGAACCGUUAAGUUGUGUUUUUGUUUUGAUCGCUGGCUCAGUGAGAGCAAGUGCUUGCGUCGCCAUAAUUGAGCGAGCUGACGAUACCGCUCCAGUUGUUGUUGUGAUUGCAGUUGGUGUUAUUGUCACCGUAGGUAAGCUAUACGGAGCUCUUAAACACGACUUCACAUGUCAGGCAAUGGAUUGUAUUAUUACAGACAUUUUUUUUAAUAUUUAUAUUAUUUUCUUAGUUUUAUAAAAGUUAUUUAUCAAUUUAUUUUGAAAAGAGCAAGGUAGCAAUUGCAUAUAGUUACGUUUAUUUACUUUUGAGAAUAUUUAGUGGACCGUCUUUAUAGACGAGCCCCAACGCUGAAACUAAAUUUUUGACAAAUAAAAGAAACCGGGUUGGAUUUUUGUUUUUUAUUGUUCAACGUUCAGCUUAAGACCAAAUAUCAAACUUACGUAAAUUUGAAAGGAAACCUCAGUGCUUUAAGAAUAUGUAAGUGUAAAUCGGGAGAAAAUUCCUUUUGGAUGAUAAAGUGAAGCUUCAGAACAGGCAAAACUGCUUAGGUUAGGCUUUAAGAUUUGUUUUCGAGAAUGGCUAAGUGCCGUUGCCAAAGAAUUGUUUAUAAGAACGCACUGCGCAGAUGGCAUUGUUAAUAGUUCUGGAUGGAUUAAAUACCUAGAAACCUAUACUUGGGCUGGGAUUGAUUGAUGUGGUGGGGGUAAUAAAGCUUCUUCCAUUUUUAUGUGUGCUGUGAUUUGAUUUGGAUUCUUCUUCAUUAUACCCGUUACUCGCAGAGUGAAAGGGUAUACCAAAUUCGUUAAAAAGUAUAAAACAGGCGGAAUGAAGCGUUUCCAACCAUAUAAAGUAUAUGUCAAAGGUACACUUUGUCUGUCUUUGUCCGCCGUAAUGUUAGUGUAGUGAGUUUCGAUCGCACUGAAGUUUUACGCACAACUGACUUGUGUCGGACACAUCUUCUGCGUGCUUACGAUCGAAUAACACUAGGCGUCAGCGACAACACGCUGGCGCCGCGCUAUAACUAUUUUUUUCAAAACUAAAAAAUACAGACGUCCAAUAACUGCGCAAAUAGAGGCUGAUGCAAUAUUUCCAGUAUGAUGAAUUAAAAGCAUACCCAUUCACUAACACAUGCAAAAGUAUGCUCCGACACGACCGUCCUGACCAUUACACGACCUCGUGAAAUAUUCCCAACAAUGCUUUGUUCUUUAUAACUUUAAUGCAACAAAACCAUUUUCAAAUCACACUUACAUCAACAAAUUAAAUUUCACGUUUCAAUAUCAUUCUUAGAGUAAUACAAACUUUUUAACAUAAUUCAAUCAUUACAUUACAAUAUCUAAUGCGCCACACGCCAUGAUCAAAACAAUUGUUUUGCACUUGUGCUUAAAUUUUUAUUAUAAAUUUCAUUAUAAGCCCUUCAGGGGUCUGUCACUUGCUAAAGCUUAUAUUUUAUUAAUAUCUCUUUCAACAGCUUCCUUUUCUAUUUCAACAGCUUCCUUUACCAUUUGCUUAUCAUUGUCUCUUUCAACAGUUUCAUUUUCCAUCUCUUCAUUACUGUCUCUUUCAACAGUUUCAUUUUCC